UACAGAGGGUGCGAGCGUUAAUCGGAAUUACUGGGCGUAAAGCGUGCGUAGACGGUCAAGUAAGUCGGGUGUGAAAGCCCCGGGCUCAACCUGGGAAUUGCAUUCGAGACUGCGUGGCUAGGGUGCGGAAGAGGGAAGCGGAAUUUCCGGUGUAGCGGUGAAAUGCGUAGAUAUCGGAAGGAACACCGGGUGGCGAAAGCGCCUGUCUGGCCCAAUACUGACGCUGAUGCGCGAA
rnacentral:rRNA from 1 species